GGCUCGUUGGUCUAGGGGUAUGAUUCCCGCUUUGGGUGGCGGAAGGUCCCGGGUUCAAAUCCCGGACGAGCCU